rnacentral:piRNA from 1 species
UGAAACAAGAGUUGGAAUUCAAGAAGAUGG